rnacentral:rRNA from 1 species
UACGUAGGUGGCAAGCGUUGUCCGGAUUUAUUGGGUUUAAAGGGUGCGUAGGCGGUUCUAUAAGUCAGUGGUGAAAUCCGGCAGCUCAACUGUCGAUGUGCCAUUGAUACUGCAGAACUUGAGUACAGACGAGGUAGGCGGAAUUGACGGUGUAGCGGUGAAAUGCUUAGAUAUCGUCAAGAACACCGAUAGCGAAGGCACCUUACUGGGCUGUAACUGACGCUGAUGCACGAAAGUGUGGGGGAUCAAACAGG